rnacentral:rRNA from 1 species
UACCAGCACCCCGAGUGGUCGGGACGUUUAUUGGGCCUAAAGCAUCCGUAGCCGGUUCUACAAGUCUUCCGUUAAAUCCACCUGCUUAACAGAUGGGCUGCGGAAGAUACUAUGGAGCUAGGAGGCGGGAGAGGCAAGCGGUACUCGAUGGGUAGGGGUAAAAUCCGUUGAUCCAUUGAAGACCACCAGUGGCGAAGGCGGCUUGCCAGAACGCGCUCGACGGUGAGGGAUGAAAGCUAGGGGAGCAAACCGG